AUUGAACGCUGGCGGCAGGCCUAACACAUGCAAGUCGAGCGGUAGAGAGGUGCUUGCAUCUCUUGAGAGCGGCGGACGGGUGAGUAAUGCCUAGGAAUCUGCCUAGUGGUGGGGGAUAACGUUCGGAAACGGACGCUAAUACCGCAUACGUCCUACGGGAGAAAGCGGGGGAGUCUUCGGACCUCGCGCCAUUAGAUGAGCCUAGGUCGGAUUAGCUAGUUGGUGAGGUAAUGGCUCACCAAGGCGACGAUCCGUAACUGGUCC
rnacentral:rRNA from 1 species